rnacentral:lncRNA from 1 species
CUGAGGAGAUGUUUACUAAAGGGAAUCUUCUGGUCACUGUUACCUUCCUCCGUACUUACCUGCCUCAUGGAUAACACUGAAGAAUGCAGUUUACUUACAUCUUUUUCUGUUUGACAGAAGACAGUUAUUAGAACCCGAAAGGAAGAAGCUAUACGACUGGGGACACAUGUCUUAGAAGCACACUCAUUAGAUAAAGUGUCGCAUACUCUUUGAUAAGGUAAGGCUC